AGUCCCGUGGUGUAUAACAUUUUGGAUUGCAAAUCCGAAGAAGCAGGCUAAUGACCCGCCGGGGCUU
rnacentral:tRNA from 1 species